rnacentral:rRNA from 1 species
AUUGAACGCUGGCGGAAUGCUUUACACAUGCAAGUCGAGCGGCAGCGCGGGGGCAACCCUGGCGGCGAGCGGCGAACGGGUGAGUAAUAUAUCGGAACGUACCCCGCCGUGGGGGAUAACACAGCGAAAGCUGUGCUAAUACCGCAUACGAUCUACGGAUGAAAGCGGGGGAUCGCAAGACCUCGCGCGAUUGGAGCGGCCGAUAUCAGAUUAGGUAGUUGGUGAGGUAAAGGCUCACCAAGCCGACGAUCUGUAGCUGGUCUGAGAGGACGACCAGCCACACUGGGACUGAGACACGGCCCAGACUCCUACGGGAGGCAGCAGUGGGGAAUUUUGGACAAUGGCGCAAGACCUGAUCCAGCAAUGCCGCGUGCAGGAUGAAGGCCU